rnacentral:misc_RNA from 1 species
UGAAAACCCUUACUACAAUAAUUCAUAACCUCAAAAACGUCUAACCAGCAGCGCUCAUUAAUAUUGUGGUGAAAAUUUUAAAUGUUUUCGCUCAAAUAAGCGGAACAUUUCAUGAUGGUUGGCAGGGGGAAGUGGUCAGACCUUAUCUUCUAAGACCGUGGUUCAGAAUGUUGUUUGGCUUGGAAUUUGAAUGAUAUUUAUAUAGUGAAUAUGUAAUAUACCUCCUAAUCUAACCUGUAACUAUCACAAAUCACAGGACACAGAAUUCUAUCUUGUUACUACUUGCUAUAAUAAUAUAUUAUAGCUAUUAAUUACUAUCCUGUAUCCUUAACUCGAUUGGUGCGUUGUACCUAUUAUAAUUAUAAUUCACAAUAGUAAAAUACAAUUUUAACAAAAUCACAAGACGAACACUAUACAUUUGUUUUGCCUAUCCUACUUGUACUACAAAAAAACAUUUCAAUGUCAGGAUUCAAUCAUUAUGGUCAUAAUGGAUCCAGCCAGCGCCAAUCAAACAAUAGUCUGCAAAUCCCUAAAAAUUGGAUGAAUUGUCCUUCUAUAGCUACUCAUUCGGUAGCUGAUUCAUUUGUGACAUUUAAAACACCAUUAGAUUACAAAUAUGAUAAUAAAAUAGCAAUCAUGAAGAGAUUCAAUCCACAAAUGGUAUUUAGUCAUAUGUAUUCAUAUCAGCAAAGUAUUGGUUUAUGGAUUGAUCUCACAAACACUACACGCUACUACAGUCAAUUUGAAAUAGAAGAUAUGGGAUGUGCUUAUGUAAAAAUACCUUGUGUUGGUCAUGGGGAUUUGCCUAACCGACAAGUGUUCACUGCACUCAUGGUUUUAACAGGACAGGAUUUUUGAUAGUUUCUUAUUUAAUAGAAGUGUUAAAUUAUGAUGUGAGAAGCGCAAUACAUCAUUUUGCAGCAGCUAGACCUCCUGGUAUCUACAGACAAAAUUAUAUAGAUGAGCUUUACAGACGGUAUUCAAAUGAAGCUCCUACCAUGGCACCAAAACCUCAUUGGAUUCAUUAGUUCUUAAACUCUAAAUCUCUAAAGCUAUUGACAUAAUAUUUUUGUAUCAUUUAAUCGCCUACAUUGCUCAAAUUAGAAAAUGUAAUUUAUAUUUGAUUUUAAAAUUUGAUUUUGUAAUUUUCAAUAGUUGUAUCCAUUAUAAUAAUAAAAAAAUAUUGGUAUUCGCUUAGUACUUUACUUAUAGUGUGUGACCUGUGGGACUGAUAAUUAAUUAAAAACAGUCAAAUUAAAAAUCAUAAGAUUAUGUUAAUAAUUAUUGAACUUUAACAAAUAUAAAAUAAUACAGGAUUAAAUGAAUAAUGUAAAAUUCAGUCAAACAAAAUAUCAGUAAAAAAAAAUAUUUGAAUACAUAUAGAUAUUACUUGUUACGUCUAUUACAAAAAUAGGUAAACUUUUUGCAUAUAACUUAAAAAAUUGAAAAACGUAUUUUUCCUGUUAACAGAUUUAAUAGAUCGGUGUACAUUAACUGCCCAUGAUAUAGAUAACAGUUUCGAUAGGUGGACACACUACCUGGUAAAACAAUUAAGUCACAUACUAAACUCGAUUUUUGCUCGGUAAUUCACACACUAAACGAAUACCAAAAUACAUUUAUAGGUAAUAAUGUAAUUUAAAUGUAAAAAAUACAUUGUACAGAAUGUUCUAUUAUAUCAAACACAAAUCAGCAUAAAACAUAUCCAUAAUUCAAUGUUUUUCUGUGAAUUUUAAGCUUAAAAAAUAAAAAUGUAUGUACAUUUUAAAAUUAAAUAAAAAUAAACUAAUUAAGUUU